rnacentral:rRNA from 1 species
UACGUAGGGUGCGAGCGUUGUCCGGAGUUACUGGGCGUAAAGCGUACGCAGGCGGUCUGUUAAGUUUGGGGUGACAGUUGGUGGCUUAACUGCCAAAGUGCUUUGAAAACUGACAGACUUGAGGGCUUCAGAGGGACACGGAAUUCCGGGUGGAGUGGUGAAAUGCGUAGAGAUCCGGAGGAACACCAAAGGCGAAGGCGGUGUCCUGGGGAGUAACUGACGCUCAGGUGCGAAAGCCAGGGGAGCGAACGGG